UUGCAUGGGCCAAGGAUCACCUUGGAAACCCGGAGUCUGGCAGGAGCGACGAGGGGCUGAGGGGCUGGCUUGGGCAGGGUUGGCAGGCACCUGGGAGCGUGGCGGGAGUGUGGCGUGGGCUCCCAGGUGUCCGGGAGGAAGGGUGACAUCGGCAUGGGUGUGACGGGCCAAGCUGGGUGUGCAGAGGAAAGAAGGGGGAGCCAGACAUUCAUCCCGGUCAAUUUUGGUUUUCAGGACGUGGCGGCUGGUGGACGAGGGGGAGCUGGAGAGGGGUUCGCCCCCGGGCCUGGGGCAGUGGAGGUGUAGCUGCAACCGUGGGCAGGUGAGUCCUCUUCUCCUCUCUGGGCCUUGCUUCGCUGGCCUUCUGCAAGAAGGAGGUUUGGGGAGCAAGGACUGGUGAGGAGAAGCGGCUGACCUCCCGACAGAAGGGCGGGAAGAAGGCAGGGUGGUUAGAACAGGUGACAUCGUCUCGGGGGGAGCUGAGACUGAGCAGGCUGGGGGGGCUGUGGGCCCGUCCCAGGUGGAAAGAGCAUUUCAGGAGGGCAGGACGGAAGAUGAGGUGGGGCUGCCAGCAAGGGAGGUGCAAAGGCCACCACCUCCAGGGAGGUGACAGGUGGCCGCAGGGAUCCAGCACGUGUGGGGCGUUCCAGGCCCGGGUCGGACAGGACGAGAAGGGGGAUUCAGGAUACAAAGGGUCCCCAGCCGCUACCACAUCUCACCCACCGCAAUUCAUUUAGUAGCAGGUACAGGAGCGGCUCUGGCACGGGCCUCCCAGGCCCGUGCCAGAGCCUUGAGGGCCGGAGAGCGGGAAAGAAGGUGCAGUGCGCGGGGAACCCGCGGCAGGACGUCACCCGGAGGGAGUUGCGGCCGCAGGUACAGGGCUCCGGAGUGAUUUCGGCAGCAAGGAGGCUGCUGGGGGCCCAGCCUGCGGACGCGCCGUUCCCACGCGGCACUGCGGCCCAGGGGCUGGCGCGGAGAGGGCCCACAGUGCACUCAGUGACACUGUAUGCCUUCACCGCUCAGCCCCUGGGACUGGCACGGCAGACAGGACAGCACCCAGGGGGGUCAAGGGCGCUGGCGAGACCAGACUAGGCAAGACGGGCGGGGUGGAGUGAGUGCGAUUUCUGGGGGGAGGAGGUUGGGGCGCAGGCAGGGGUGAGGAGCGAGCGGGGCCUGGACUCCGGAGCCCGCGGCCAAGGCGGGCCUGUGCGGGCGGCGAUGGAGCAGUGAUCGGUGCCUCUGCGCUCGGACUGGAGGCGAGGCCAGGUCUCCAGUGGGGGUGGACGUGCCCGCCAGCCACCGAAGGCGGGUGCCAGGAUGUGCUCAGAAAGACAUGACAUGGUCCGGUGUGACGGUGAGGAUGGACGUGACGGUAUCCAGCCUUCCUGAACAUCUUUGGCUGGCCCCGGGGGCGCUGCGACACCCGGCAGGUCUCUGUUCCUUUACUUUCCUGAAGGAGUCAACACACUACUGCUGCUCUCUGGACCCCAAGAACCCUCAAGAUGACAAGAAAUGGUGCUACCCAGCUCAUGCCUGGGCCUUGGAACCCGGACUUCUUCAAGUCCCUCUAGCUCUGACUCAAGAAUAUGCUGCAUUCUGGAACCACUACACUACUUGACUCAGGAAUCAGCUCUGGAAGGUUAAGCUAAAGGAACCAGAUGGACCUGCCGCCAACACCACCGGAAGUGAGCAGCGCCCACGGCUGCCCCACCCCCACCUGGGGACUCGUCUUCGUCUUCAUGGCCACCCCUGCGGGGCUGGAGACCACCGCCAGCCCCCCACGCCCCUCACUACCAUCUGCCUCCUCUCCCUGCUCUUCUUCAUCCUUUCCUUUUGAAUUUUCACUUCUUUUUCUUCUCUGUCCUUUGCUCAGGAGACUCAGAGCAUCCGUGACUCUGUUUCCCCCGUCCCCCUGAAUUCAAUUUGCACUAAGUCAUUUGCACUGGUUGGGGUUACGGACCCGCCUUGAGUCUCUGAGCGAGUAUGCAAGAAAACUGCCGAGUGUGCUGGGCCUCCUUUGGCCUGUGCCGCGCCCUCGCCCCCCUGUCGUCCAUCUCAAUCUGGGGGUGACUGGG